UACGUAGGGUGCGAGCGUUGUCCGGAAUUAUUGGGCGUAAAGAGCUCGUAGGCGGUGUGUUACGUCGGCCGUGAAAACCUGCAGCUUAACUGUGGGCGUGCGGUCGAUACGGGCAUCACUGGAGUUCGGCAGGGGAGACUGGAAUUCCUGGUGUAGCGGUGAAAUGCGCAGAUAUCAGGAGGAACACCGGUGGCGAAGGCGGGUCUCUGGGCCGGUACUGACGCUGAGACGCGAAAGCGUGGGGAGCGAACAGG
rnacentral:rRNA from 1 species